rnacentral:lncRNA from 1 species
UUUAUAUAGAAAGCAACACACUCCACAGGUAUUUCAUAAUAAUUAGACCAAGUCAUUUGUGCAGAAAGAGACAGACUGAAGUCUGAGAAAUGCAUUAGAGGGUAGCCGUACAGUACAGAAUACAUAUCCCAUUGCUCUGGACAGAAGUGUAGAAAAGCACAACCACACUGAUUGUGUUCUGUGAGUACAUCCUUAGACGAUAAAUUACUCUACAAAUUCCAAGAUGAUCCAACAUGAUAUAAAGAAUGAUCCUGGCCGAGAUUCUCACAAUACUAUGGUCAACCUGAGUCAUCGAAAAUUGUUUAGAGACAACUUAGAUAAGUGGUUGAAAUAUAUAAGCAAUAAAGAAAGUACAUGCACAUGACAAGAGACCAAUUCCAAUUGGAUUUCUUGCACAAACAAAGAUACAUGAUACAAAGCCUUUUUACAAAGCAAGUUGAUAACUUUCGGCAAACCUUGUGGAUGAACCCAAUAAGAAACUAAAACUUUGAAACCAUAUUCUGCUAGGUUUCUUUAAUCCUUUUCAAUAUGAGAAUGCAAGAAACUCAUUUCCUUGUGAAACCUUAGACGUUAAUGGAUACCCCAUCAAGCUAGCAUACACAGUUCAUCUAUAAAAUCUACUCCUAUUAACUAAAUCAAGCUAGCAUAGACAAUUUAUAUCCAAAUAGGAUUACAUCUCUUGGGGUCUGGUUACCCAAAUCCAACCAGAGAUCCUCACAUGAGUUGGGGGUGUAGAAGAGCAAAAUGAGCUUACUUGCAAGAAGAAGCCAGAGUCCAGGGUCAGGCAAGUGUUAGACAUGUCGUCACGCGCACCAUUGCGGCUUCUGAUCCAUAUCCCCUGCUUCGCCGUAUGAUGCCACCUGAAAAUAGUGUAAUUUACUGGGAGGGAAAAAACACUGCCCUUCAUACCCGGGUGGGAGGGAAAAAGUCAAUUAGUGUAGAAAAGAGAGACUCUUCUUGAAAGAACAUCCAAUUUUACGGGUCAGUGGCAAAGCAACAGUACAAACAAAACAAGGAAUAAACAAUUAGUGCAGAAAAGAUAGAAAUUAAUAUCUUGAGAGUACUUAAUUGCACUACCUAUAUAUUCACACUCACAUAUGUAGUCGAUUUUUUUUUAAAUUGAAACAUUAUUGGCAUCACUACAUAAAAGUGAAGAAAUGAAACUUUUUGAUGCAAUGAACUUAUAUCUGCAACUUCAAUAGACCACAUAUGCAAUCUCGUUGGUGCGAACUUACUGACCAAGUGACAAAUUGAAAUAAACCGCCACUAAAUUCAGAUAGCAUAUAUAGGUUCAUAUGGUUGUACACAGGUAUGAAUAGAAGUCAAAUACACUAUGGAAAGUAUAGGUUCAUUCUACGCCACCAUAUAUUAUUUUGCAUCUACUGAGACACGCCAGCGUCACCAACUUUCCUUGCAACAAUGGCAGUAAAAAUUGUUCAAAAUUUACCUUUAGUAGUACAAAGAGCAAGCAGAUCAGCGGCCAAUUGCUUGCAUGAUGACAACCGCUGAACUGACAGUGUUCUUGACAGCAAUUACAUGAGUCUGCAGAAAGUGCAAAUAAGAAUUGUUUCACAUUUUUUAGACAAAACAUGAGUAAUUCAUUGUCAUCGACAAAUAAAACAUUCAGUGUGUUGCAGGUUUCCAUACGAGAGCAGAAGAAAUUCCAUUAUAGUGUAUAGCUUCCAAUAUCUAUGUACGUUCCUUGACUGAAUACAACAGGAAGAGCAUAAAUCUGCUGUUAAUCAAGAGAAUGAGGCUAAGACUGACCAUGGACUUUCAAAUAGUAAACCACGAUUCCAGAUUUAUGACCCUAAUAGAUCAAGAAAGACGGGAGAAUAGGGUUUUGCACGAGAAUAAUACCUUCCAUAGGAGCCCAAAAUAAUAAUUCUUGCAUCGCAUGGUUCAACAUCUUCAGCUUGAAGUCGUUCGUGAUCCUGCGACAACAACCAUGAAACGAAAAAAAAAUCAAAACCCAAAGUAAAGGAUUGCAAAAAUGCCACUACAAGCAGAAAUGUACACAUACAAAAAAUACGAUGCCAUCUCACCGAGGCUGGAAGGGACAAGAAGUUACUGGAGUUUUCCGUGUGGCGGCGAUGCUUGCUGCUUCUACACCCAUCCAACCAAAGCAAGGGAACAUUUCUGUAGGUCAAAUAAAAUAGUCUAAGAAAACAUGCAACUAUAUACAACAUCAGUGGGAAGUAAACUAACAUAGUCCUCUCUGAAGCAAGCAUGUAGCAACAAUGAGCAUAAAAGAGACACGGGAGAUGCAUAACUGAGAUUAAAAUCAACCUUUUCAUCUUAUUGGCUCUGCACUGGAAGAGGAAAACACAACAUCCAAUUUUCAAGCCUUAGCUAAAUUACUUUUGUGGUACCAACUAAUGCUAGACCAAAGUCAGUUAAUAAGAAUUGUUGUCUGAUGAAACUACACCAUAUGGGGACAAGAGCCAACACCUCAGAACCAAAACAUUAACAUUUCACAUUUGUGUUUCUACCUUUCUCUAUUGGCUUUAGGAGUUUAUGUACCUGAACUGUGGCCCUAUAAUUCCUAUAAUUAAUGCAACUAUUAAUUUUUUGCCUCUGCUCUAGUGUGAGGAUUCAAAAUCUGUGCCGAAAACAUACUGUCGGAUCUAGUGUGAGGAUUCAAAAUAUGUCCCAAAAACAUACUAUAAGGUUGUGUUCUAUGAGAAAAGAGAAGUGUCUGACACACAAAUAGAUGCAUUAUAGACAAACAUUUUCAGAUUCUCAACUUCUCAAUUAAUCAACUUUCAACCACAUGUUAUAUUCUUUAAAAGGUGUGAGUUGAAAUGUGUAAACUGAACCAGGACAUUCCUUUUUCUGUAGUACAAAUAACUCCCUAUGCACUCUUGGCCUUCUUCUGUCCAUAAAAAUUAUCAAGCACUUUCAGAUUUCUCAAGCUCUACUUCUCUCUGACAACAUGGGCAUUACCCUACUGAUUCAAUCGAUUAACCCUGAACAUGUUGCCAAAAUCAUCCAACGAAUGGCAGCAAGUCGGGCAGAGAGGAUGGCGCUGGUCUCACCCAUUUGUUUUCUUACCGAGGAAAUCUUUGUCAUGUGAAGCAAAGAAAGGAAGAUGCAAACAAUCACUUGACGAAACGAAUUAAACCAACAGAUUUAUUUUCUCGAGCACUUGCCUUCCAGAUUAAAGUCUAAAAUUUCAGAAUCUUAGGGCGAGUCUAAAACCACCCUCCCAGCUCUUGACAGAUCAUGUCCAUUUGACAAUGUGUCAAGGAAAACAUGAGUACGUGCCUAACAGAUCAGUGGCAAGCCGUCAGGUUAAGGGCCAAAUAGUAUCUAUGCGUGAACAACUAAUAUUUGUAGCUUGAUGGCUAAAUAUAUAUCCAGUCUGCUAUUAUCCAUAUCAAAAAAAUCGUUACCUGAUUCAACUAUAAAUUGCAUGAUCACAACCAAAAAAGGAAUAGAAAAUAUUAAACUCACCUUAUUUGUAUCUGCUUCCAAGCUGCCUGACCAAAUUUAACAACACGUAUGCCACCUAGUCAAAUAAGGCAAGCACCAAUUAGUUGAGCCGCAAACAUGAUAAUAAUUCGGUGUGACAGAAUUCAUCCUACUUUCCCAAAUAUAGUGAAUAUAAAUCAUACAUUCAGUUAAUGUUUAUCAUACUGCAAUAAAUCAUACGCCCACGUAUGACUCAUGAAAAACUAUAUAUAGGAAGCAACAAUGCUAGAGACAAAACCAAAUCGAGAGAGACAGGUAGAGAGAUAUGGAAGAAGGGUGGAGUGUUGAGAUCUAACCGGUAUUCCAGGUGAAAAUUUCAACUGAUGAGAGAUGGAAAUCGUACAACCCACAGCAACUUGUCACCUAACAAUGCAUCCACGGACAUUUUCUGCAGGAAAAAUCGAAGAACGCCCACCCAUUACAAUGUGAGAAUCACCAAUAUUGCCAUUAGAGAUAACAGAAGGGACAAUACAUGUAACCAACGCUGGCUCAACUAAAUCAUGUGCAUCUCAGAAGGAUAGAAUACCAACCUGCGGGCGGACGUCACACAGAGGGAUAGAAUAUCAAGAAUGAUUAUUAAGUAACCAGGUACAUAACAAAAACAAAUAAUGUCUACAUAGUAGCUCAUCUCUCUGAAUACAACCACACUGAUUUCGAUGUACAUUUUAGGAGCAAUGGAAAACCAGAAAAACAGAAACAACUCACUGCUAACAUAAGGAAAAAGGAGAUCACCAUAUAAGAAAAAAAGAACAAAGCAAAAUGAGACAAAUAAGCAUGUUAGAGCAACACCCAGCAUUCACGGCGACAUGGAAGUGCUCUCUGAACUACAACCCAAAAUAAAAACAUGUAGUUUUCUCUAAAUGUUAACAGAUGCAUGGUUUGAAAAUUUACUAACCCAAACAAUAACUCAAAACCAACCCAUCUGGAUCUAGGACAACACAUUUAAAUCCUAACUAAUCAGAGUAAUCAUUCUUAACAGUAAUCCACAACUACAAAAACAAAAAACCAUAGUGGUCCUAACAGGCAUGAGUGAUUAGCAAAAAGGGGAACGGGACUGAGAUACUUACAUAGAGUGAGAGAGACAUAGAUCCUCACAAUAGCACCACCAUGCUCAGCGACUUGCAGCUACGGCUUGCUCCUCAUCCAGCAGACAAGACAGCCAGCUCUCACUACAUCGAAGACUGUUGGUUUC